rnacentral:rRNA from 1 species
UCGAAUUCGAUUAGAGAGGGAGGGAACAUGGUUUCACUUCCAUCGACUCCCCCUUUCUAGUUUCCGUUUCCUUCUUAUCCACCUGUGCACUCUUUGUAGGCCUCUCGCGAGAGGAUCUACGUCUUUCUUAUCUACGCUUUUAUGCUAUCCGUAUGUCCAGAGAACGUAUACAAACUAUUACAACUUUCAGCAAUGGAUCUCUUGGCUCUCGCAUCGAUGAAGAACGCAGCGAAUCGCGAUAUGUAAUGUGAAUUGCAGAUUUUCAGUGAAUCAUCGAAUCUUUGAACGCACCUUGCGCUCCUUGGUAUUCCGAGGAGCAUGCCUGUUUGAGUGUCAUCGAAUUCUCAACCAUGUCUUGAAUUAGGCAUGGCUUGGACUUUGGGGGUUGCUGGCUCCGUGUCAGCUCUCCUGAAAUGCAUUAGCGAUGGUCAGCAAGCCUGACGUGCACGGCCUUUUCGACGUGAUAACGAUCGUCGUGGGCUGGAGCGUAGGGCGGGCGGUGAAUCGCUUCCAAUCCCCUUAGACUUUCGGUCCUUUGAGAGACUACUUCAGUUACUAGUCGGUCGUGAGCCUGACGAACACGAGGGAAACGUCAAAGGAUCAUCGUCUUUCCAUCUUGAUCUUGAUCUUGGACCUUUGGGGGGACCCCCAAGCCUUAGUUACUAGUCUGUCGACGAACGCAGGGCUUAGGUUUCUCAUCCUGGAUCUGGAUCUGGAUCUCGAACUC